rnacentral:rRNA from 1 species
AGUUUUUAGAGUUUUUAUUAUAAAUAGUUUCUGCUCAAUGUUUUUAAAUAGCUGCGGUAAUUUGACCGUACAAAGGUAGCAUAAUCAUUUGUCUUUUAAUUAGAGACUAGUAUGAAUGGUAAAACAAAAAUUUUUUUGUCUUUAUUUUUUUAAAGAACUUGUAUUUAUUGUGAAGAUACAUUAAUGUAAAAAAAAGACAAGAAGACCCUUUGAGCUUUACUUUAUAUAAUUUUUUUUUAGUUUAAUUGGGGUGAUUAAAGAAGAAAGAUUUAUUGAAAAGCUUCUUUUGUUUUUUAGUGAACCAUUUUUAAUGGGUUUUAGAAUAAGUUACCAAAGGGAUAACAGCGUAAUUUUUUUUAAAAGUUCUUAUUUAAAAAAAAGAUUGCGACCUCGAUGUUGACUUAUAGUUUCCUUUUAAUGUAGGUGUUAGAAAGGUGGGUCUGUUCGACCUUUAAAACUUU